rnacentral:lncRNA from 1 species
AUAUGAAUGAAGUUGAUUUCAAAGGACAACAACUGCAAAAUUUUGGGGGAUUCUCAGUGACCAAAGUUGCAUGGUCAAGGUUAUACGUGUCUCCUCCCUUCACAUAGUACAGCAAAGCUCUUCUUAUUCAGGCACCAACCAGCCAAGCAAGUUCUCCACCCAGGGUGCUGAGCUCUUAAUGAAACCAGAAGCCAAAAGGUAUGACAGCCUGGUUCUGAAGAUUGCUGCAGUCUGGAGUCUAGUAUUUGCGAACCCAAGAGAGCCAAGAAAGGGUCCUUUACUUAAAGCUGCAAGAAGAAGGAAAAUAAAAACCCCAAAGUUAAGUAUCACCAUCCAGCUGGCACAUGUGCUCAGGCCACAACUGGCUUUGGCAAGUCCCCAUCCUCGAGGCCUCCAGUGGCUCUGAAAUUCUCACCACAAGAAAAUCAUGGGUUUUAAGACACAAGAAUUAAAGAACACAUUGAUGUAAUUUUGGUGCAUGAGCAUUUAGAGAAAUGUGUGUUUGUCUUUGAAGGUUGGCUAACUUUGGAAAUUCUUCAGACCUGUAAUGGGGCUAUUUGCCCGGGAGUUGGUUCUACUGUUCCUGAAGAGACGGCAAUAUUAACCAUCCCCAAAGUGCAGCAUUGAGCCUUUCCCCUUCCCACUACCCCAUACUCAGGAGGAGCAAUCUAUGCCCAAAUUUCUUUUUAAAAUUAGAAGUAUCUCUCUGUAUAUAAACUGAUCGCCUAGAGUCUUAAUCAGAAAGUAAAACUAGUUCUUAAAUUUUCUUGGAGGAAUUUUGCUCAAGUGAUUGUAUUAUUUCUGCUUGAAUAACUCCUUACAAAGGAAAUUCUUAAGCUAUUUUUCCAGAUAAUAGAGUCAAAAUUAGUUUCUUUCUAAU